GGGCAGGUGGUGAAAUUGGCAGACACGCAAGGUUUAGGACCUUGUGCCGUAAGGCUUGUGGGUUCAAGUCCCACCCUGCCCA
rnacentral:tRNA from 3 species